GUCUGCCUGGGCUGAGUGUGUGAUCCACAUGGUGCAGUGAUAAGCAUUCAGCCCCUGAAGGAGGGACACAGAUGAAGAGGUCAGAGAACAUCUGCGGAAC
rnacentral:sRNA from 1 species